rnacentral:rRNA from 1 species
GACGAACGCUGGCGGCGUGCUUAACACAUGCAAGUCGAACGGAAAGGCCCUGCUUUUGUGGGGUUCUCGAGUGGCGAACGGGUGAGUAACACGUGAGUAACCUUCCCUUUACUUUGGGAUAACUUCAGGAAACUGGGGCUAAUACCGGAUAGGAGCUCCUGCUGCAUGGUGGGGGUUGGAAAGUUUCGGCGGUUGGGGAUGGACUCGCGGCUUAUCAGCUUGUUGGUGGGGUAGUGGCUUACCAAGGCUUUGACGGGUAGCCGGCCUGAGAGGGUGACCGGCCACAUUGGGACUGAGAUACGGCCCAGACUCCUACGGGAGGCAGCAGUGGGGAAUAUUGCACAAUGGGCGGAAGCCUGAUGCAGCAACGCCGCGUGCGGGAUGACGGCCUUCGGGUUGUAAACCGCUUUCGCCUGUGACGAAGCGUGAGUGACGGUAAUGGGUAAAGAAGCACCGGCUAACUACGUG